UGUCACGCGUUGCUCUGAGGCGCGGUAAGUGGUAGGGACCGGGCGUUGGACGGAAUCCUGGGGCGUAGAGAGCGGUGAGGCGGCCGUGCAAGGUCCGGGUGAAAGCUCACGGCUCAACCGUGGGCAGCCGUGGAAAACUGGUCGGGUAGGGUGCGGGAGAGGGGAGUGGAAUUCCUGGGGUAGCGGUGAAAUGCGCAGAUAUCAGGAAGAACACCCGUGGCGAAGGCGGCUCUCUGGAACGCAACUGACGCUGAGACGCGAAAGCGUGGGGAGCAAACAGGAUUAGAUACCCGAGUAGUC
rnacentral:rRNA from 1 species